ACACGUAGGGGCCUGACGUUGUUCGGAAUCAUUGGGCGUAAAGGGCGCGCAGGCGGCCGUCCAAGUCCGGUGUUAAAUGGUCGGGCUCAACCCGAUCAUGCGCUGGAAACUGGGCGGCUGGAGUCCCGGAGGGGAUGCCGGAAUUCCAGGUGUAGGGGUGAAAUCUGUAGAUAUCUGGAAGAACACCGAUGGCGAAGGCAGGCAUCUGGCCGGAGACUGACGCUGAGGCGCGAAGGCGCGGGGAGCGAACAGGUUUAGAUACCCUGGCAGUCCGCGCAGUAAACGAUGCGCACCAGGUGUCGGGCGGCAGCGCCCGGUACCGGAGCAAACGCGAUGAGUGCGCCGCCUGGGGAGUAUGCCCGCAGGGGUGAAACUCAAAGGAAUUGACGGGG
rnacentral:rRNA from 1 species